rnacentral:rRNA from 1 species
UACGGAGGGUGCUAGCGUUAUCCGGAUUCACUGGGUUUAAAGGGUGCGUAGGCGGCUAUAUAAGUCAGUGGUGAAAGCCCGCAGCUCAACUGCGGAAUUGCCAUUGAAACUGCAUAGCUUGAAUCUGGUUGAAGUGGGCGGAAUACAUCAUGUAGCGGUGAAAUGCUUAGAUAUGAUGUAGAACACCGAUUGCGAAGGCAGCUCACUAAGCCAACAUUGACGCUGAGGCACGAAAGCGUGGGUAGCGAACAGG